rnacentral:tRNA from 1 species
UAUCAAAGAAGGGAUUCGAACCCUCAUCGCUGUUAAUAAAAGCUUUACAUCCUAAGUGUAACGUGUUUACCAAUUUCACCACUUUGAU